rnacentral:rRNA from 1 species
UGAGCUAUAAAAAUUUUUUACUUAAGAUUAAAAGUGAAAUUUAAAAGUAUUUAGUUAAAGAUAUAUUUAUAGUUAGUUUUAGAAACUACAAAAUUUUGGGUUUAAACUAGGAUUAGAUACCCUAUUAUACCAUACAGAAAUUUUUUUUGCUUGAGUAGUAAUUAGUUAUUUUCUUGAAACUUAAAGGAUUUGGCGGUAUUCAAGUCUAGUUAGAGGAACCUGCUCAGUAAACGAUAUGCCACGAAUUAUCUUACUUUUAUUUGAUUUCAGUAUGUAUACCGCCAUUAGUAAGUAAUAUUUACAAAUAUGUACUAUAAUAGAUUUAUUUAAUAUAUUAGGUCAAGGUGCAGCUUAUAUAAAAGUUGUUGUGGGUUACAUUGUAUUAUAAACAUAUGAAUAAAGAUUUUAUAAUUCUUUUGAAGGUGGAUUUAAUUGUAUUUUUGUUUUAAUAAGGCAUUUUGAUAUUAGCUCUAGAAUAUGUACACAUUGCCCGUCGCUCUCAUUA